GAAGAAGAAGAAGAAGAAGAAGAAGAAGAAGAAGAAGAAGAAGAAGAAGAAGAAGAAGAAGAAGAAAGGGUAAUGCAAGGAUUGUAUUGUAUGAGAUUUCAAGAAUUUCUGAAGUCUAGAAGAUGGAGAGAGCGCCGUAAAACACUUUACAAAAACAAAACAAACAGGAGAGAGUCGGACAGACCUUGCGGGCCAAACUUCUGAUCGGAAAUAAUAAUGCUAUGCUAUUGGAGAAGGAAGAAGGAAAGAAGGAGACUUUAAAAAGUAUUAAAAAAACAACCCCCAAACAAAAAGGCUGAAAACGAAAAGAAUUAGCAUUGACUUCAGAGUUAGCGCGUGGACGAUCGAGCGAUGGCGGUUGAGUGAGUAUCCGCGAACCGUUCGUGAGCCGUGAGCUGGGCACGCGCGCGAGGGAGUGAGUUCCCUGGUCUCUCGCUCACUCUCCCGCUCUCUAUGUCUCUGUCUCUCUCCCUGUGUGUGAGUGUGUGUGUGUGUGGUGCGAGUGUCUCCCCUUCCCCCUCCUCUACCGCUUCAGCGAGGGGCCGGCGAGCGUGUUACUCCCUCUAUUGAUUCAUUGUUUACACACAGGCAGACAUACACACACAUACAGACACACACACACGCGCGAGCGCGCGCCAACACGGUGUCAGGCAGCACUGCGUCUCUCACUCCACUCACUCACUCACUCAUUCAGUUAUUCACCUAUUCACUCAUUCACUCACCACGUGCGUGUGUGAGAGGAGUUGUGGCUGGCAGGAUUGUGUCUUGGAUUCUACGUACCCCGCACACCCCCACACACAUACAUACACACUCGCGCGCUCGCUCACGCACGCACGCGCACGCUUGCUCUACCCUCCCCCCACCCCAGCACAACAGCUGACGCGCGUGUACUGGAGUGUGUCCGCGCGCGCGUGUCCACUCGCGACGACAACUUGUUCACGUUCUUGGAUUGUCGCCGUUCGUCGCUCCAUCGUCUUCAUCAUCAUCUUCGCCAUCGUCUUGGUCAUCAUUGUCAUCGGCUGACCGUACUUUACGCCUGCAGCACCACCACCACCAGCUUUCUUCUCAGUGCAGUGUGUGUCUGGUUUUCCUCAUACCGAGUUCACAAGCUGUCAACAUGAGCUCCUGGUAUCCGCCGUUACAGGCCCGUGUCUCUUCGCUCUGAAGAUACCACAUUUCUUAAACUUGGAUUACGUACUUCUACGGUUUGGGCUGAUUUAGCACUCUUAACAGCAAACAGUUCUCUCGUGAGUGAAGGGGUCUCUUUACGUUCUAACAAAUAAAUAAAUGAAUAAAUAAAUAAAUAAAAGAAUGUUGAACAAACGGACAGGAUUCUCUCUCUAUGUCCUCCUCCUCCCCCCGCCCGUCCGUGUGUGUGUGUUUCUCCUGACAUCGUCUGCUACUGGUGGUCAUCUCUGACGCGUUGCGUGCCUCUGGCACCAAACACACUCGUGAGCAGCUGAGGGAAAGCGUCUUCGGCCGAGGGGACGGACCGCGCGAGAGAGCGCGCGCUUUUUAGCGCCCAUCGUGUCCCAUUCCUCUCUCGACAGGGCUCACAAUCCAUCGUAUUCCCGGAGUGAAAGAAGGAGGAGGAGAAGAA